CACCGCGGUUAUACGAGAGGCUCAAGUUGACAGACAACGGCGUAAAGAGUGGUUAAGGAAAGUAUUGAACUAAAGCGGAACACCCUCACAGCUGUUAUACGCUUCCGAGGACAUGAACCCCAACUACGAAGGUGGCUUUACAUUACCUGAACCCACGAAAGCUAAGAAA
rnacentral:rRNA from 1 species